GCUAUUACCAUAGUAUUCUCAUGUAAUGAAUAUGUUCCUUUUAUUACAGGGGGCAGCAUCAGAAGAUGGGCGCUUGAACCGAGGAGAUCAAAUCAUUGCUGUGAAUGGGCAGAGCUUAGAAGGGGUAACUCACGAGGAAGCUGUUGCCAUUCUCAAGAGAACAAAAGGAACAGUUACCCUGACAGUUCUUUCUUGACUUAUUUAAUGCUUCUUGCCUCCAUAAAUUCCUUUUUUCAGUGGUCCUAUCUUACCAACAACUUUCUAUGUAUAUAAAAGAAGAGAGUAUAUGUUCACAGAUAGUUGGGUGUCAAGUAGACUCUUAAUUGGUCUAAAAGGAUGUCUUCUAGCUGCUAUAUUUUAACCUGACUGGUGUAUAUUUUAGAGGAAAAAUACUAUUUUAAUAUGUUUUAACCACUACAGAUGUAUCUUUUUAUUGUCGUCAGUCUUGUGUUAAAGUUUUUGCAGUGCAGCAUUUUUCAAGUUGGCCAAAGAAAGUCCAUUUCAGUAUUGCAGUAUUAAUGUGUAAAUGAAGGCCCCUUUUGACAGUGGCUCAGAAGCUUUUGUUGAACUACAAAUCUCUUGAUGCUUAGCUAACAAGAGACAGACUGUUGCUUUAUCUAAUUAGGUAUUUCAGUACAACUAGAUGAGAAAAGGCUUGUACAUGGCUUGCUCUCUUGUAAGCUUGUACAUGGCAUGCUCUCCAAGAUUAUAAAUCUGAAAUGUUAAAGAAUAUUGUAUUCAGUGAUGGUUUUAUUUUGCUUUUGUCGUAUACUGUAGUUUGUCGUAUACUGUAGUUUUUGUCCCACACAUGUGAAAACAGAAUUAUUCAGACCUUAAUAUACUGACAGUCCACUUAUCAUUCUUGUAACCUCUUACCAUAUCUUCUCGGGAAGUCCAAGACCUCUCCAUAAUCUUACAAUAAGCCAGAUUGUUUUAAUAAUACAUAAGAUGAGCAAACGGUCAGGUAGCAAUAAAGAGAUGCAUGCAAGUAAAUAUUUUGAAUUAGGGUUGUUCACACAUUCCCAGUGUAACAAGGUAGAUGCAAAUACCUGAUAACCACAGUACUGGGGAAUCUUUUUGUGUAUAUGCAGAGUCUAAAAGCUGUAAAAACUCAAAUAACAUAUGUAUCACUGUGCCAGUCUCUGGGAACAGUAACAAUUAAUUAUCCACAAAACCCACUGUUAUUUUUCAUAUUUGUUUGGAUGAACUGGUUACAUAAAACUGCUUUCAUUUAAAAUAUCAGUAUUAAGCCAUGAAAGAUUACAAAUCCGUUGUCAAGCUUAAAUAACAAUGUGUAUGGAAUUGUUCAGUUUGGAAUUUCAAUGUAUUUUAUGUUAACAUCAAUAUCACAUUCUACCUGAAUACUAUGAUUGUAGACAAUAUUGUGUAUUGUUUGUAACAAAGUUUCAGAUUAUUUGUAUACAUUUUGAAGAAGUUUUUCCAAUAAAAUACCGUAUUAGCUUGAUUGUUUUAGAACAUGAAGAGCAAGAUUACUAUUGUUUUUCUCAUCACUGACAUUUUUAGACAAAACAUGAAUUUCAUAUGUGUAUAAAGUAUAUUUCCUAGGUUGAACAAUAAAAUAAACCACAAUUACGGAUAUUUCUGAUUUGAUGGUAUGGCAUUGUUUUCAUUACAAAAUAAGAAAUUCU